AGAUGCCAUAGAAAGAUGGCAUGCUUAGGUGUCUCUAACAAGUCAGGAAGUGCCAGAGACUUUCACAGAAUGGGGAGUGGAAGAUAGUUCUUAAUUUAUUUUGUGUUGAGCUUCUCAACAGCCUGCUCCAACCACAAGUGACAACUGGUUGUCCUGCAGUUUGGCCUGUUUGUCUGUUCCUUCAGAGAGACCUAACCCAGAUAGGAACUCAGUCUGGGGAUCUGAAAGUUGAAUGGUAUUCUGUCUUACUAAUAUUUCUUCACUUUACCGCUGACUUCAGCAGAUGCAGGAUCAAGAUCCAGCUGUACAAAAGUAUUUAGACACUUAAAGAUGCCUAGUUGGGUUUACAGAAGCACCUAAGCAGUGUGAAGCACAGUCUCAUAACAAUGAAGGGCUGGAAGACUCAACAGCUCAGAGAACUGGGAAUGGGAUCCAGACCUUUUCAUCUCCAGGUUAAGGGUAUGAAUCCAGCUGAGGUUGUAGGCCAUUAUGUCCUCUUCACUUGCAUGGAAUAUUCUCUCCUUCCUCAAGUAAGAGACUGUCACAGCCCUUUCCUGGCUGCACAAGGCAGUAAGGCCCUGCCUUAUUCCUCUGAUUGGAUGUGCUCCUAUUGUGACUCUGCGGUGGGGAAAGCAGAGGCUACUUGACUGAUACAAUUCUGCGUCAUCCUUUACUCUGGGCAGACAGUCUCUGUUGUCAGUUUGCUUGGGGCUCUUGGAGGAAUCUCCAUUCCAGAAAAAAAAAAAUCUCCAAAAAGGAGAAGGGUUCAGCAGGUCAACCUCAGGGGGGUAAAAACAGCUGGUGAAAC